rnacentral:rRNA from 1 species
UACGAAGGGGACUAACGUUGUUCGGAAUCACUGGGCUUAAAGGGCGCGUAGGCGGCCUGCCAAGUCAGGGGUGAAAGCCCCCAGCUCAACUGGGGAAGUGCCUUUGAUACUGGCGGGCUCGAGCGAGGCAGGGGUCGUGGGAACUUCCGGUGGAGCGGUGAAAUGCGUAGAUAUCCGGAGGAACACCGGUGGCGAAGGCGGCUUCCUGGACCGACACUGACGCUGAGGCGCGAAAGCUAGGGGAGCAAACGGG